rnacentral:rRNA from 1 species
UAAGGAAUAUUCCGCAAUGGGCGCAAGCCUGACGGAGCGACGCCGCGUGAAGGAGGAAGCCCUUCGGGGUGUAAACUUCUUUUCUGUGGGAUGACACAUCUUCUUUCUUUCCUUACCCGCAAGGGUAGGGAGGGGUAGAGGAAGAUUAGGACAGUACCACAGGAAUAAGCCUCGGCUAACUACGUGCCAGCAGCCGCGGUAAUACGUAGGAGGCGAGCGUUGUCCGGAUUUACUGGGCGUAAAGCGCGCGCAGGCGGCACACUAAGUACGAUGUGAAAUCUCCCUGCUCAACGGGGAGGGAGCAUAGUAAACUGGUGAGCUAGAGGACGGUAGAGGGGGGUGGAAUUGCUGGUGUAGCGGUGAAAUGCGUAGAGAUCAGCAGGAACACCCGUGGCGAAGGCGGCCCCCUGGGCCGAACCUGACGCUGAGGCGCGAAGGCUAGGGGAGCGAACGGGAUUAGAUACCCCGGUAGUCC